AGAGAGAGAGAGAGAGAAAGAAUUGGAGAGGGAAAGAAAAAGAAAGAGAAUAAGAGGAGCAAAUAUCAAAUGAUGAUCAUGGCUAGAGGGUCAUCAUCACCUCUAUUCGAUCUUCUAUUUCUGAGAAGAUAUAUCUGAUCUUUUCUUUCUUGGUUUGUUUUCUUUUCAUGGAAUACCACGUUAGCUUAUUAAGAGAAGCCUAAGGAAGGAAGCCUACCUCACUUUGGCUUCUCCAUUUCAUCUUCUUCUUCAAUUUUCUCUCCAUCACCGCCACUUAGCACCAAAACCCUCCACUUGGUUGAAUCUUUGCAAGUUCACUCUUCUUCCUGCAACUGGUGCAGUAUCAAAAUCACCUUUAACAAAAGCUAGCGAGUCAAGAGAGGCCAAUUUAAAGCUCAAAGAAACAAGAGAUAUCUAUUUUGCGGUUUCAUGGCUCGAGAACUCUGUGAAGAUAAAUCAAGGAACAUGGUAUCGUCAUCAUCAGCAGGUUUUUGUUACUCAGAUGCUUCAUCAAGUAACCCAACAAUCCAAACCCAUCUAGGGAACCAGAUCCAAGGUUUUGAAUCCAACCUAGAGAUCUUCAACUUGACCUCAGGCAUGGAGAUGAUAGGGUUUUCAAGGAAUCUGCAGCAACAACAAAGUGAGAGUAAUACUGCUGUUAUGUGGAAAGGUUUCUUUGACAAGCCGGGAAGCAACAACUCCGGUGAUGGUGGUCCUUCUUGCUCCAAGACGAUCAAUGAAUCCACCAGUGAAUUCUAUCAACAUGAAUUCAACAAGCAGGACUUCGCAACUGGGAUUUCAGAGACGAGUAAUGAGAAUCUAAUAGUUGGAACUGACUCGUCAGCUCCAUGGCAGGAACAUAGGUUGCUUGUUGAUGACUCUUCUUUAAGGUGUGUGUUCCCUUGCGAACCAAAUGAGAGGCCAAGUCAAGGUCUUUCGCUCUCUCUUUCUUCAAGCAAUCCUUCUACUAUUGGAUUACAGUCUUUUGAACUCAGACACACAAAUAAUCAUCAGAAUCAUGAUAAUCCACAAGAAGAAAUGAGGUUUAUGAAUUCAAGUUCAAGAGAUGGCUUCUUUGGCAAAUCCGUUGCUAAUAUUCAACAACAGCAGAUGAUGCAAGAUGGGUUAUUGACAAAAGCUGCAAAUUUGCAUCAUCAAGGGCAGUUCCAGCUUAGAAACUCAAGGUACCUGGGUCCUGCAAAAGAACUUUUGAACGAGUUCUGUAGCCUUGGGACAAAGCAAACUGAUCAACCAAGGCCAAAGCCCCACAAGCCUAAACAGUGGGAUGAUGAAAAUGGAAGUGCUAGUAGUAGUAGUUCUUCAAGAAAGCAAUCUCUAUACUCCCUUGAAUUCAUGGAAUUGCAGAAGAGAAAAACAAGGCUGCUUUCAAUGCUGGAAGAGGUAGACAGAAGAUACAGGCACUAUUGCGAUCAAAUGAAGGCUAUGGUCUCAUCCUUCGAAGCUGUCGCUGGUGCUGGAGCAGCUACGGUGUACUCAGCUUUGGCAUCAAAAGCCAUGUCAAGACACUUCAGGUGUUUAAGAGAUGGGAUUGUGGCUCAAAUUCAUGCCACCAAGAAAGCCAUGGGAGAGAAAGAUCCGGUUGCACCAGGCACGGCAAGAGGAGAAACUCCAAGGCUAAGGAUUCUUGAUCAAACUCUAAGGCAACAAAGGGCUAUUCAACAAAUGAGCGUGAUGGAAAGCCAUCCAUGGAGGCCCCAAAGAGGCCUACCAGAAAGAUCUGUAUCUGUUCUUCGAGCGUGGCUAUUUGAGCAUUUUCUUCACCCGUACCCAAGCGAUGUUGAUAAACAUAUCUUAGCCCGCCAAACUGGUCUCUCAAGAAGCCAGGCACGUCCCUAUAUAGCUUAUUCUAAUCCUACACGAAUUAAUUUAUAUUAUCAAUGUGGCAUAUCUUCUUAGGAUCCAUAAUUAUAAUAUAAAUUUAUUUUAUAAUUAAAUAAUAAUGGUACCAUAUUAAAUAUACAUGAUACCUUUUGUUUUUACAUAUGAUUCAACAGGUAUCCAAUUGGUUCAUCAAUGCACGAGUUAGGCUGUGGAAACCCAUGGUGGAAGAAAUGUACAUAGAAGAAACAAGGGAGAAAGACAACAACAUGACGACUUCUGAUGGGGUUACUGAUCUUGAACACAAUAAUGGCCGGCCUGUUCCAAAUCCUUCCGCAUCAGAUCAAAAACCCACACCAGAUCAACUCAUUCGUAUCAAUUCCGAUUGUCUCUCUUCCAUUAUCUCUAACCCAGAUAAAAAUGAUACUUCAAAAGGCACUAAAACUUUCCAAAACCAUCAUUUGCAUCCGCAACACCAGAGUUUUGGAACAUUUGGUGCGGUGGAAUUGGAUUUUUCAUCUUAUAAUCACCACACGGCUGGUGGGCUUUCAUAUGCUAAUGAUCAUAGUGCUAAUCAGAACUUCAAUGGUGGGGGAGUGUCAUUGACAUUAGGGUUGCAACAGCAUGGAGAGAGUGGCGUAAGCUUAGCAUUCUCUCCUGCCUCACAAAGCUCUCUAUUUUACCCUAGAGAUCACAUUGAUGAUUGUCCACCAGUUCAAUACUCAAUUCUAGAUGGUGAAGCACAGAACUUACCUUACAGAAAUUUGAUGGGGGCUCAGUUGCUGCAUGACUUGGCUGGAUGAAAGGAAAGUACUACAUCGCUGGAAGGUAGGUGGGGUUCGGCACCGGAGUUCUUGCCGAAGGAUGGUGAUGGUUGAUAAGUAGUUUAGGCAUAGACAAAUACUCCAUACAUAUAUAUACAUAAAGCUACAGUUGGUUAAAGAUACUAUGGACAUUAGUUCCAUAGCUAGAAUAGUUUUGCAUCUUUUUUUUCCCAUUGAAAAGAAAAAAAAAAAUCUUUGUUUACUGUUAGUCUAAUUUGGAAUUUGCAAGCGAUUGAUGCAAGAUUAUGAAUAUAUUUUCUUUCCUCUAAAAGGGAGAAACUGUUUUGGCAAGAAAUUAUCCUGUUCUAUUAGUUAGUAGUAGGUAGGUAUAUGUCUCUCAUCCUCUCUUUGUAAUUGCGUAAGCUGAUCAGUGAUUGAAACUUUUGUGGCUCUUGUUAAAAUUGAUGCUUUCUAAUUUCUCAAAAGGAGGAGAUUUUUUUUUUC
rnacentral:misc_RNA from 1 species